GGGUCAGUAGGUUGGUCGUGCCACCGGUACGUACUGGUCUCACUGAUUCCUCCUUCCUGAAGAACCGUAAUGCCAUUAAUUUGGUGUUGCGGGGAAACAGGACUGUUACUUUGAAAAAUUAGAGUGUUUAAAGCAAGCUAACGCUUGAAUACAUUAGCAUGGAAUAAUGAAAUAGGACGAUCGAUCCUAUUUUGUUGAUUUCUAGGAUUGACGUA
rnacentral:rRNA from 1 species